CGUUAUGUAUCAGUUUGGGGACUUUCAGUUCUGUGCUUUUAGCACUUUUUUGUUUUGUUUUGUUUUGAGACACAGUCUCCCUCUGUCGCCCAGGCUGGAGUGCAGUGGCGUGAUGUCCGCUCACUGCAAGCUCUGCCUCCCGGGUUCACGCCAUUCUCCUGUCUCAGCCUCCUGAGUAGCUGGGACUACAGGCGCCUGCCACCACGUCUGGCUAAUUGCUUUUAGCACUUUUUUGGGAGAGGGGUGUGGCAACAGUAAAGCUUUCUACGUGUUAAACAGAAUGAACAAAACCAACACAGAGCAGUAACUUCCUGCCAGAGAGAGCAGAAGGAGACCCUUAUAGAACAGUUGUUCCACUGGUUCAAAGGCCUCGUGUGGUUCUAUCCUUUGGACUGCCUUUCUUCAACAGCCCAGACACCUGCUCCAUCAGAUUUAUAAGCCACACCCCCUAGAGCCAUGCCAAUCAAAGCAUGGCCCGCAGACCUGUGCCAGUCUCCGAACCUGUUUGUUACCGAUUUGGAGCAAGAUGGGGACAGAAAUUGAGAGCCAGAGUU